rnacentral:rRNA from 1 species
AACGAACGCUGGCGGCAUGCCUAACACAUGCAAGUCGAACGAUACCUUCGGGUCUAGUGGCGCACGGGUGCGUAACGCGUGGGAACCUGCCCUUAGGUUCGGAAUAACUCCCCGAAAGGGGUGCUAAUACCGGAUAAUGUCUUCGGACCAAAGAUUUAUCGCCUUUGGAUGGGCCCGCGUUGGAUUAGCUAGUUGGUAGGGUAAAAGCCUACCAAGGCGACGAUCCAUAGCUGGUCUGAGAGGAUGAUCAGCCACACUGGGACUGAGACACGGCCCAGAAUCCUACGGGAGGCAGCAGUGGGGAAUAUUGGACAAUGGGCGAAAGCCUGAUCCAGCAAUGCCGCGUGAGUGAUGAAGGCCUUAGGGUUGUAAAGCUCUUUUACCCGGGAUGAUAAUGACAGUACCGGGAGAAUAAGCUCCGGCUAACUCCGUG